UUGGCAAAGGAUCCACCAGUUUUAAGCCGUUUUCUGCUUAAACGACUCUUCGUGACUUCUGAUCGGAGGGUGGUGAAAGGGGGAAGAUGAUUUAUGGAUGAAAGUGAAAGGUCGAAUUCGAGGAUUUGGAAGCGAAAGGAGAGGUCCGGCUGUCUCUUGUUGCUGUUUCAUGUGAAGGAAAAUGGAUUAUAAGAUAUAAAUACGGGAGGAAUUUGAGACGGUGGUGGGGAAAACGCUAGUAGAAUGGGAAGCUCCUGUUUCAGACGGCCGUCUAGUAGAAUAGAAUUUGGCAGGAACUUUAAAACGCACAAAUGAAUCAAUGCACGAUCAUCCGAAUACCUUUAAUGUUACUCCAAUACACCGAUUAACAUGUACAAAUUUAAACAAAAACUCAUUCACUACCAAUAUAGAAAAUAACAUGUGCUGAAGCAAAUUGGAAGUAAAAAUAAAUUCCGUCAUUAAUCUCGUGCAUUAGUCAAACGUCCACGAGAUUAUUCCCACAAUAUUACUCAUGAACAAACGUCCAAAUCGACUUGAACAACAUGCCAUGGAACACGAUUAACAUACCGAUGAUCCUCGCUUAUCGUCGUCAAGAAAUACUCGCGUUACCGAAACGGUAAGAUACGCCGUUAAAGAUAGUCGGUAUCUUACUUAAAUGGAAUUUGAAUCAAAUUUGAGGAAUCAACUACCACGUAGACCGCGAUACCAGCGUCGAUGGAAACGCGCCCGGCAUUCUCGUUAGGCACCGUCGCAACGUCAACAACGACCCGGUGAGUGUAAAUAGCGAAAAGCUGAACGUUUUAUCACAGCUGCACGAGAUGGGCGAGAAUUCUCGACAGGUUUCGAAGAUCCGCGUCGCAAACGGCAGAUUUUCGUCAAAAGCUCUUCGCUCACCUGUUGACCCAUCGGUCAACCUCUUUCCAUCACCUAUUACGAGUUAUUUAUAAGGCAAUUCGCUUCUGAUAAGAUCAGAGGGCGAGUGAAAUUCUAUAACGCGCUUGCAACGCGAUUCGAACAUGUCAACGACACUACUCAUCGAUGGCCGAUCCACGAGCGAAACCGAUGACCCUGCAGCUUUUCAAGUACGGCAUAUCUAAAUCGGUAUACGAAGUGAGGCGCGGUUGCAGAGGUCGAACGUUAGGCGAAUAAUUCCACGAAGUGAGAGGCGUGGGACGAUAGUAGACGAUUCUGGUUCUAUUUGCCGAGGGCUAGGAUAAUUUCGUGCGUGAAUCGAUCUUCGAUCGA